GAUGAACGCUAGCGGCAGGCUUAAUACAUGCAAGUCGUGGGGCAGCAGGGUUGUAGCAAUACAAUCGCUGGCGACCGGCAAACGGGUGCGUAACACGUACGCAACCUUCCCGUUACUGUGGCAUAGCCCAGGGAAACUUGGAUUAAUACCACAUAUUAUAUUGAGGGGGCAUCCCUUUGAUAUCAAAGCUUCGGCGGUAACGGAUGGGCGUGCGGUUGAUUAGGUAGUUGGCGGGGUAACGGCCCACCAAGCCUACGAUCAAUAGCUGAUGUGAGAGCAUGAUCAGCCACACGGGCACUGAGACACGGGCCCGACUCCUACGGGAGGCAGCAGUAAGGAAUAUUGGGCAAUGGACGAAAGUCUGACCCAGCCAUGCCGCGUGAAGGAUUAAGGUCCUCUGGAUUGUAAACUUCUUUUCUCUGGGGCGAAAACCAGCUAUUCUUAGCUAUUUGACAGUACCAGAGGAAUAAGCACCGGCUAACUCCGUGCCAGCAGCCGCCGUAAUAC
rnacentral:rRNA from 1 species